ensembl:rRNA n-R5s157 nuclear encoded rRNA 5S 157
GUGUAUGGCCAUACCAUCCUGAACAUGACAGAUCUUGUCUGAUCCUGGAAGCUAAGCAAGAUCGGGCCUAGUUACUACUUAGAUGGGAGAAGCACGAUAAAGUACUGGGGGGGGGGUCACCCCUA